rnacentral:rRNA from 1 species
UACGGAGGGUGCAAGCGUUAAUCGGAAUUACUGGGCGUAAAGCGCUCGCAGGUGGUCCGUCGCGUCGUGCGUGAAAGCCCCCGGCUCAACUGGGGAGUGUCGUGCGAUACGGGCGGACUGGAGGCCAGUAGGGGGAUGCGGAAUUCCGGGUGUAGUGGUGGAAUGCGUAGAGAUCCGGAGGAACACCAGCGGCGAAGGCGGCAUCCUGGACUGGCCCUGACACUCAUGAGCGAAAGCGUGGGGAGCGAUCCGG